rnacentral:rRNA from 1 species
GCCCAACAGCUAGCCCACCCAAACAAUUUCAACAAGCCCCUGUUAAUAACCCCUAAAUACCCCCGUAUUUAAAUUAAACAAACCAUUUUCCCCCCCUAGUAUAGGCGAUAGAAAGGGGACUACGGCGCAAUAGAGAAAGUACCGCAAGGGAAUGCUGAAAGAGAAGUGAAAUAACCCAGUAAAGCCUAAAAAAGCAGAGAUUUAAACUCGUACCUUUUGCAUCAUGAUUUAGCGAGUGUACCCCAAGCAAAGAGCACUUUAGUUUGACGUCCCGAAACUAGGUGAGCUACUCCAAGACAGCCUAUUAAUAGGGCGUACCCGUCUCUGUGGCAAAAGAGUGGGGAGAGCUUUGAGUAGAGGUGAUAAACCUACCGAACCUAGUUAUAGCUGGUUGUCCAAGAAAUGAAUAGAAGUUCAGCCUUCUGGCUUCUCUUUUCACCCUAGUUUAACCCCUAUUGAUGCAUUAAAGAAACCAAAAGAGUUAGUCAAAGGGGGUACAGCCCCUUUGAAUCAAGACACAACUUUACCAGGAGGGU